CAAAGUAUUACUAUAAAGUCAAACUGGCUUACCAAAUGGGCCAAACUUACCCAUCAUUGGGUGCGUUGGAUAGCAAUGGCAAAAGAAAGGAAAAAGAUCCUUGUGCUAAAUCAUUAGAUGGAUUACACGGAAUUCUAGAUGGUUAUCUAGUUACGCUAAGAUAAAUAAAAGGUAGUGUCAGACAUCAUAAGAAAGCAUUAACAGAUGAAGCAAAUAAAAUUAGCGAAUUAUUCUUAGAAGGAGAUGACUUGCAUAAAACUCAGGUGAGUCAUCAAAUUAAAACAAGUUCUCUUUAUAAGUUGCGCAAUGUUUCGCCACCCAUGUUUGCA